rnacentral:rRNA from 1 species
AAUAGAUACCCUGGUAGUCCACCCCGUAAACGUUGGGAACUAGUUGUGGGGUCCUUUCCACGGAUUCCGUGACGCAGCUAACGCAUUAAGUUCCCCGCCUGGGGAGUACGGCCGCAAGGCUAAAACUCAAAGGAAUUGACGGGGACCCGCACAAGCGGCGGAGCAUGCGGAUUAAUUCGAUGCAACGCGAAGAACCUUACCAAGGCUUGACAUACACCGGAAACGGCCAGAGAUGGUCGCCCCGCAAGGUCGGUGUACAGGUGGUGCAUGGUUGUCGUCAGCUCGUGUCGUGAGAUGUUGGGUUAAGUCCCGCAACGAGCGCAACCCUCGUUCUAUGUUGCCAGCACGUAAUGGUGGGAACUCAUGGGAUACUGCCGGGGUCAACUCGGAGGAAGGUGGGGAUGACGUCAAAUCAUCAUGCCCCUUAUGUCUUGGGCUUCACGCAUGCUACAAUGGCCGGUACAAAGGGCUGCAAUACCGUGAGGUGGAGCGAAUCCCAAAAAAGCCGGUCCCAGUUCGGAUUGAGGUCUGCAACUCGACCUCA